UCUCUAUUCGUCGGCAGCGUCAGAUGUGUAUAAGAGACAGGGGUAAUGACGAUUAAAAUCCUUGAGUAAGACGGGACACGUGAAAUCCUGUCCGAAUAUGGGGGGACCACCCUCCAAGCCUAAGUACUACUGUGUGACCGAUAGUGAACUAGUACCGUGAGGGAAAGGUGAAAAGAACCCCGACGAGGGGAGUGAAAUAGAUCCUGAAAUUGAAUGCUUACAAGCUGUCGAAGCCCGCAAGGGUGACGGCGUACCUUUUGUAUAAUGGGUCAGCGAGUUAGUUUAAGUUGCAAGCUUAAGCCGUGAGGUGUAGGCGUAGCGAAAGCGAGUCUGAAUAGGGCGCUAGUAUCUUGAAUUAAACCCGAAACCGAGUGAUCUAGCCAUGAGCAGGUUGAAGAUAAGGUAAUACUUAUUGGAGGACCGAACCAUUAGACGUUGAAAAGUCUUUGGAUGACUUGUGGUUAGGGGUGAAAGGCCAAUCAAACUCGGAUAUAGCUGGUUCUCCGCGAAAACUAUUUAGGUAGUGCGUCAUAUGAAUACCAUCGGGGGUAAAGCACUGGAUGGGCAAGGGGGAAGAAAUUCUUACUAAGUCCAACCAAACUCUGAAUACCGAUGAGUAAUAUAUGGCAGACAGACUACGGGUGCUAAGGUCCGUGGUCGAGAGGAAAACAGUCCAGACCAACAGCUAAGGUCCCCAAGUUAUUGUUAAGUGGGAAAGGAUGUCGGACGACCAAAACAGCCAGGAGGUUGGCUUAGAAGCAGCCAUCCUUUAAAGAAAGCGUAACAGCUCACUGGUCUAAAUAAGUUGUCCGGCGCCGAAGAUUUAACGGGGCUAAACAAUACACCGAAGCUUUGGACACAAUUUAUUGUGUGGUAGCGGAGCGUUCCGUACGUUGUUGAAGGGAGACUCGUGAGAGCUCCUGGAGAUAUCGGAAGUGAGAAUGCUGACAUGAGUAGCGACAAAAAGUGUGAGAAACACUUUCGCCGAAAAUCCAAGGGUUCCUGCGCAAGGCUAAUCCGCGCAGGGUGAGUCGGCUCCUAAGGCGAGGUCGAAAGACGUAGUCGAUGGGAAACAGGUUAAUAUUCCUGUACCUGAUGAGAUGUGACGGAUGACGUAUAUUGUAUACCCUUAUAAUGAUUGGGUGUGCAGUGAAGUUGUUCCAGGAAAUAGCCUCAUCAUUAAAGACCGUACCCGAAACCGACACAGGUGGAUAGGUAGAAUAUACCAAGGCGCUUGAGAGAACUAUGCUGAAGGAACUCGGCAAAAUACCUCCGUAACUUCGGGAGAAGGAGGACCUAUGUUUGGGCAACCAGAUGUAGGUGGCACAGAAAUGGGGGUAGCAACUGUUUAUUAAAAACACAGGACUCUGCAAAGCCGCAAGGCGAAGUAUAGGGUCUGACGCCUGCCCGGUGCCGGAAGAUUAAAGUGAGUGGUGCAAGCUACGAGCUGAAGUCCCGGUGAACGGCGGCCGUAACUAUAACGGUCCUAAGGUAGCGAAAUUCCUUGUCGGGUAAGUUCCGACCUGCACGAAUGGCGUAAUGAUUUCCCCGCUGUCUCCAGCAUAGACUCAGCGAAAUUGAAUUCUCCGUGAAGAUGCGGAGUACCCGCGGUUAGACGGAAAGACCCCGUGCACCUUUACUAUAGCUUUACAUUGGUGUUAGAAAUUACAUGUGUAGGAUAGGUGGUAGACUUUGAAGUAAGGGCGCCAGCUCUUAUGGAGUCAUCCUUGAAAUACCACUCUUGUAAUUUUUGACAUCUAACUGAGGCCCAUUAUCUGGGUCCAAGACAGUGUAUGGUGGGUAGUUUGACUGGGGCGGUCGCCUCCUAAAAAGUAACGGAGGCGUGCGAAGGUAGGCUCAAGCUGGUCGGAAAUCAGCUGUUGAGUGCAAUGGCAUAAGCCUGCCUGACUGCGAGACUGACAAGUCGAGCAGAGACGAAAGUCGGUCAUAGUGAUCCGGUGGUUCUG
rnacentral:rRNA from 1 species